AGCUCAGUCGGCAGAGCAUAGGACUCUUAAUCCUAGGGUAGUGGGUUUGAGCCCAAU
rnacentral:tRNA from 1 species